rnacentral:rRNA from 1 species
GACGAACGCUGGCGGCGUGCUUAACACAUGCAAGUCGAACGGAAAGACCCUUCUUUUUUGGUUUGCUCGAGUUGCGAACGGGUGAGUAACACGUGAGUAACCUGCCCUUGACUUUGGGAUAACUUCAGGAAACUGGGGCUAAUACCGGAUAGGAGCUCCUGCUGCAUGGUGGGUGUUGGAAAGUUUCGGCGGUUGGGGAUGGACUCGCGGCUUAUCAGCUUGUUGGUGGGGUAGUGGCUUACCAAGGCUUUGACGGGUAGCCGGCCUGAGAGGGUGACCGGCCACAUUGGGACUGAGAUACGGCCCAGACUACUACGGGAGGCAGCAGUGGGGAAUAUUGCACAAUGGGCGGAAGCCUGAUGCAGCAACGCCGCGUGCGGGAUGACGGCCUUCGGGUUGUAAACCGCUUUCGCCUGUGACGAAGCGUGAGUGACGGUAAUGGGUAAAGAAGCACCGGCUAACUACGUG